UUUGCAGCCCCCAGAACAAGGACCCCAGAGACAGAGUGAGAGAGGGCAAGAGAAGGCAAGAUGCAAGUCACACUCUUUUUGUAACCUAAUCCCAUCACAUUUCCUGAAUUCUGCUCAUUAGAAAGAAGUCACUAGAUUCAGCCCACAUUCAAGAUGAGAAAUACCAGAAGACAGAGAACACUGAGGCUGUUUUAGAGGCUGUCAACCCCAGGGAGACAGACAGCAAAUAAGUAAGCAAAUAAAUAAAAAUGGAAGGUGAUAAUAAGUGCAAUGAAAAGAAAUGAAGCAGAGUAAAGAAUCAAGAGUAGCAGUUGAGGGGAUGCUUGGAUGUUUUCACACCACUCUGACACAUGGAUGGAAGGUUAGAAGACAACAAAGGAAUGGGCUGGGAAGGACUCCAAAAGCAGAAUCAGAGAUUAUAUCAUUCCUUGGAAAUGGAGAAAAGGAUAAAAAAAGCUGAAUAAAAGGUAGUCCCA
rnacentral:lncRNA from 1 species